GUGACAUAUCAUACCAACACUAAUCCACUAAAUUCUAUUAGAACUUUACAGUUAAUUAUGUUGAGACGAAAGUAGUACAAACAUUAGGUGACUACUCGAAAAUUUCUUUUGUUGUACU
rnacentral:rRNA from 1 species